GAGGGUCGGAUGGCUGCGGCGCGCAAGCGUCGAGGAAAGUCCGGGCUCCACGGAGACAGGACGGCGGGUAACGCCCGCCCGGAGCGAUCCGAGGGAAAGUGCCACAGAAAGGAAACCGCCUGACAUGUCAGGUAAGGCUGAAAGGGUGCGGUAAGAGCGCACCGCGCGCGCGGUAACGCAAGCGGUCACGGUAAACCCCGUCCGGAGCAACGUGAAAUAGGGAUCGGUUAAGGGUGUCUCUCCCAGCGAUCCGGGUACACGGCACGAGGCUGUCGGUAACGGCAGUCCCAGAUGAAUAGUCAUCACGCAGGGCUCGCCCAGCGUACAGAACCCGGCUUACAGACCCUCUGGU
rnacentral:RNase_P_RNA from 1 species